rnacentral:rRNA from 1 species
GGGGGAUAUUGCACAAUGGAGGAAACUCUGAUGCAGCAACGCCGCGUGAGGGAAGAAGGUCUUCGGAUUGUAAACCUCUGUCCCUGGUGACGAUAAUGACGGUAGCCAGGGAGGAAGCCACGGCUAACUACGUGCCAGCAGCCGCGGUAAUACGUAGGUGGCAAGCGUUGUCCGGAAUUACUGGGUGUAAAGGGAGCGUAGGCGGGUGCGCAAGUUGAAUGUCAAAUCUACCGGCUUAACUGGUAGCCGCGUUCAAAACUGCGUAUCUUGAGUGAAGUAGAGGCAGGCGGAAUUCCUAGUGUAGCGGUGAAAUGCGUAAAUAUUAGGAGGAACACCAGUGGCGAAGGCGGCCUGCUGGGCUUUAACUGACGCUGAGGCUCGAAAGCGUGGGGAGCAAAC